GGCCGGUUAGCUCAGUCAGUUAGAGCUUGGUGCUGAUAAUACCAAGGCUGCGGGUUCAAUCCCCGUUCAGUCCC
rnacentral:tRNA from 1 species